rnacentral:rRNA from 1 species
UUUAUUUCGGUAAAUUCUUAGUGGCGAACGGGUGAGUAACGCGUAGGCAACCUGCCCUUUGGAUGGGGACAACAUUCCGAAAGGAGUGCUAAUACCGAAUGUGAUCCAUUUCUCGCAUGAGAGAUGGAUGAAAGAUGGCCUCUAUUUAUAAGCUAUCGCCAAAGGAUGGGCCUGCGUCUGAUUAGUUAGUUGGUGGGGUAACGGCUCACCAAGACGAUGAUCAGUAGCCGGUCUGAGAGGAUGAACGGCCACAUUGGGACUGAGACACGGCCCAAACUCCUACGGGAGGCAGCAGUGGGGAAUCUUCCGCAAUGGACGAAAGUCUGACGGAGCAACGCCGCGUGAGUGAUGAAGGUUUUCGGACUGUAAAACUCUGUUGUCAGGGACGAAGGUGCGAUCUGCGAAUAGUUGAUCGUAUUGACGGUACCUGACGAGGAAGCCACGGCUAACUACGUGCCAGCAGCCG